rnacentral:rRNA from 1 species
UGUACCCGCUGAAACUUAAGCAUAUCAAUAAGCGGAGGAAAAGAAACCAACAGGGAUUGCCCUAGUAACGGCGAGUGAAGCGGCAAAAGCUCAGAUUUGAAAUCUGGUGUCAUUUUGGCAUCCGAGUUGUAGUCUGUAGAGGUGUAUUCGAGUGUGGCUUUGGCUUAAGUUCCUUGGAACAGGACGUCAUAGAGGGUGAGAACCCCGUUAACGGCCUUUGUCUUAUGCUCAUGUGAAUCUCCUUCAACGAGUCGAGUUGUUUGGGAAUGCAGCUCUAAAUGGGUGGUAAAUUCCAUCUAAAGCUAAAUACUGGCAAGAGACCGAUAGCGCACAAGUAGAGUGAUCGAAAGAUGAAAAGAACUCUGAACAGAGAGUUAAAUAGUACGUGAAAUUGUUGAAAGGGAAGCACUUGCGACCAGACGCACCUGCAGCCGAUCAAUUCUCAUUUUUGAGGAUGCACUCGGUUGUUUGUGGGUCAGCAUCAGUUAUAGCGGUGGGAAAAAGACCCGAGGAAUGUAGCUCCUUUCGGGGAGUGUUAUAGCCUUGGGUGCAAUGCUGCCUGCUGUGACUGAGGACCGCGCUUCGGUGAGGAUGCUGGCAUAAUGGUCGUAAGUGACCCGUCUUGAAACACGGACCAAGGAGUCUAACAUCUAUGCGAGUGUUUGGGUGUAUAAACCCUUACGCGUAAUGAAAGUAAAUGGAGGUGGGAACCGCAAGGUGCACCAUCGACCGAUCCUGAUGUUUUCGGAUGGAUUUGAGUAGGAGCAUAGCUGUUGGGACCCGAAAGAUGGUGAACUAUGCCUGAAUAGGGUGAAGCCAGAGGAAACUCUGGUGGAGGCUCGCAGCGGUUCUGACGUGCAAAUCGAUCGUCAAAUUUGGGUAUAGGGGCGAAAGACUAAUCGAACCAUCUAGUAGCUGGUUCCGGCCGAAGUUUCCCUCAGGAUA